AUGUGGCGCCUCCCCCGCCGGCCUCCAGGCGCUCGGCUCCGCCCGCUGGACCAGACCCUCUCACAGACCCCUCCCCCGGCUCCGCCCUCUGGGGAGGAGCCCUCGGGCGCUCGACAGUCACGCCCACUAGGGGCGGGGUCCACGUGGAAGGAGGGGCCUAGGAGGGAUGUCAAGAAAACAUAUUCAAGCACUAAUCCCAGAAGAAAUUGAGAGUCUGUUGGAUGAAUGUUCUGAAGACAAGAAUAUUGAAGCAGCUGGCAUAAUUAUCCCACCAGACAUAAAAAAUAUAACGGAUAAUGGUAAAACCGACGACAAAUCCAAUGACUCAAUAGUGAAAGAUGUUUCAGGUCCUCUGGAAUUACAUACUGAAACAUCUAACCAAAAUGCAGAAAUAGAAAGUAUGAAUGAGA